AAUCUGCCUGCCUCUGCCUCCCAAGUGCUGGGAUUAAAGGCGUGCGCCACCACGCCUGGCUGUGUGGUCAUUCUCUUAACAAAGUGCACCAAGGGCUUGACGUGGCUGUUGGCUACUUUUAGUUUAGAGCACUUUCACAUUCAUAAAAGAGCUGCAGAAUCCAUGUGUGGCAUGCACCCUGCUUCCCUAAUCCCACACUUAAAUUGUAUGCUGUAAACUUGCUUAUUGUAAAUGUGUGGCUUGGUGGUUUUUAAUGACACUCCCAAGGUCACGCACCCUCCCUGCACUGUAAUUUCAGGCUGUCCUUUUAAACCUUAAGUCCACCCCCAUGCCCAUAAUGUACCUGCGGUGGCCAGCGCAGCGGGAAAAGUCUGUAAACUCAGGCCUCUGAGCACUUGCUCUAUGAUCUCCCAGUGCUCCUGGUUCACCCCCGCCCCCAACACCCCCAACGCCCCCAACGGUGAUGGGCCACAUCCCUUCAAACUAGGGAGCAAAAUAAGGCCUGGCUAAGUUGCCUUCUGUCUGGUGUUUUGUCACAACAACAAAAACAGUAACUGAUCCACAGUCCUCACUCAUCUUCCCUCUCUAGCCACAGAGACUUGGUAAUCUGUUUUCUACCUCCAUGAUGUUGGCUCUCUGAGGCCUUUGAUGUAUAUGCUGCUGUGCGGGCGACAUGUGGUGUUUAAUGACUAAUUUUUUUUUCAGUUAGCAAGUUUUUGAAGUUCAUUUAUAUUGUAAUUUAUAUCUAUUUUAUUCUUUUUUUUUACUGCUGUGGGUUAUGUCAUUGUAUGGACACCACUCUUGUUUAUCCUUUCCCAACUAAUGAGUCUUUGGACUGUUUCCAAGUUUUGGUUAUUAAUGAUACUGCUAUCUGUGUGCCGCUUUUGUGUGAAUGGAUGUUUUUAUUUCUGUCAUGUAUACUAAACACAGAAUUGCUUGGUUGUGUACGGUAAGUUCGUAUUUAACAUUUCAGAAAUCACCCCACUCCAGAUGUUCCUGCACCACUGCCGCACAGUCCAUGGUCCAAAAUGGUUCUGCUUUCCCCCGCACUGCUAUCAACAUUUGUUAUUGUGUACCUUUUGUUUUCUUUCUAAUUACAACCACUCUAGUGAGGAUGGAGUGGAACCCCCUUGUGAUUUUGACUUGUAUUUCUCCAGUGACUAAGGGAGAAAGCUUGGUUUCUUUGUGAUUUUUUUCAUCACAUGUCUUUUCACAUGCUUGCAUUAGCCGAACAUCCUUUCACCUGUGUCCACUUCAGGAAAACACUCCUUCACAUGUUUGCCCCAACAAAAUGGCCAACAUGCCAAUAUAUUCGUGCUUUACCAUAAUUUAUAAAAGUAAUAAUAUAAAUCAGUAGUUUUAGACACACAUAUUCUAAAGCCCCCAGCCAAGGCCCAAGACUUGUGGUAUCACCACAUCCUCUACUCACAACACCUGCCCUGUUCUUGUGACCUAAAGGCAGCAGGGUGAGAGAUAAGCAGGGUGCCUGUUUUUGCACCUGGCUCCAGGGCGAGUGGAUGGCCGUGGUCCAGUGGUAGAGCCCUUACCUAGCAUGUGUGAGACCCUGGGUUUGAUUACCAGAAUAAAUAGCUAAAUAAGUAAAUAAAUUUGGUGACUCUAAUGUCGUUUCUAAACAUUCUGUUUCUUUUCAGACUCUCACCUCCUUUUUCAUAAUAGUAGCAAUGGUAUUGGUUAACUUCCUGUUAGUCUAACAAAAUAUCUAAAAGCGAUAAAGAUAAAUGGGAUUUUAGCUCCCAAGAGGUUCCAGUGCAUGAGUAAUUGACCUUCCAUAGCACAGUGAGGUAAAACUGUACACCAGUGCAUACACUAGCAAGAUUUUGCUGAAAGGACCCAGAUGUAGCUGUCUCUUGUGAGACUGUGCUGGGGCCUAGCAAACACAGAAGUGGAUGCUCACAGUCAGCUAUUGAAUGGACCACAGGGCCCCCAAUGGAGGAACUAGAGAAAGCACUCAAGGAACUAAAGGGAACUGCAACCCUAUAAGUGGAACAACAAUAUGAACUAAGCAGUACCCCGGAGCUCUUGUCUCUAGCUGCAUAUGUAUCAAAAGAUGGCCUAAUAGGCCAUCACUUGAAAGAGAGAUCCAUUGGACUUGCAAACUUUAUAUGCCCCAGUACAGGGGAAUGCCAGGGCCAAAAAGGGGGAGUGGGUGGGUAGGGGAGUGGGGGGGGUGGGUAUGGGGGACUUUUGGUAUAGCAUUGGAAAUGUAAAUGAGCUAAAUACCUAAUAAAAAAUGGAAAAAAAAAGAAACAUAAAUAAGGGGACAGGGAUCCCAUGAUCUCUUUCAAAGGCAUAGUUCCCAAGACCUAAAGACCUCCAGAAAGACCUGCCUCUUCCCAGGUCCCAAACUUCUCAGCAGCACAGCCCUGAGAACCAAAGCCAUUAACAUUUAGCACUCAAAUGGUAGAAAUCACCCAUCCCAAGUAUAUUUGCAAUUUUCUAAGCAGUGUAGGGAAAGGAGUCAUUUAAUCCUCACAGCCCCCCCCCCCCCGCUCCCUCCCGUGGGACCAUUAAUAGCCACACUUGACAGAUGAGGAACCUAAGCACAGAACUUUAAGGUGAGUCUCCCAAAGCUACCUGGACAGUAGAUGGUAGUGUUGACUUUCAAACACAGCAAUUGAUCUGAGUUUCUAGGCUUAUAGCUACCAUGUGAGAACAUCUUUCAUCCAGUUUGUCCUUUGCUGAUGUUUAAUUUUAUCUUCUAGGGGCUAAUUGUUUGAAACGUGAUUGCCUGACAAUCUCUUGCAAGUGAUCAUCCUAUCAUAUGAAAGUCUCAGGAUCCCCUAGUGCUGGGCUGUGUGUCUGUUGGCCCUUCUGAGGUGUCUCCCUGUAUUUUGUUGUUUCUGUUUGUGAGCUCCUCUAGCAAACUUGUUUUUCCCAUGAGGCUUUCCUGUGGCUUGCAUGGUAAUGGAGUCCCUCAAGAGCUCUUUGGCAUUUGCCACAGGAAAAUCUCCACCUGGACCACUUCUUCACUGACUACUGAUCAUCUCAGAGAGCACCACUGCCUUGGUUCCUGAACCAGCUCUUUGGUCACUUACCAUCUAGGGAGCACUCACCUUCUUGCCCUGGGCCGCCUGAAGACAUGAAGUUACAUGAAGUUCAUGCCUGAAGACAUGAAGGAAAUGAAGGGGGAGGAGGAGAAGCACACCAGUACUGUAAAUGCUGUAUGAUUCCUUAUUUUUUAUUUUAUGUGUAUAACUUAUGCGUGCAUGUUUAUAUGUGUGUUCAUGUAUGUGAGACUUAACUGGGUGUAUAUGUCUACCACGUAUUAUAUGUGUCAUUUUGAUUCAAUAUUAUAUUGUGUCUUUAUUAUGGAAUUAAAAUUUAUCUUAAAAUAAUGGAAGAAGUUACAUUCAUGGAGAAAACCAACCAGAAGAACUUGUUUUUCACAUGAUCUCUUUUGUCCACUAAGAGGCAUAUAAAUUAUUUUCUGUCUCUCUAUGUUAUUGAUGGCUUUCUGAUAUUCCAGUGUGGGUGUGGCCCUUUAGAAAUCACUGCAACUUUUAACUAACCCCACCUGUAGAAACAUUUCACAUCCUCACUUCCGACUUCCCUUUCUGUUAGUCACAUACCUGGGGCCUUCUUUGAUCUUGUCAGUCCAUCCAAGCAUUUAAAAUAUUUUCGAUAGAUUUUGUGCAGCUCUCUUACGCAAUGCAGAAGAGAUUAUCAAAUUACUUCUUUGUAUUUUUUAUGAGAAAUAGAAGUCCCAUUCUACUCUUUAAAAAGAACUUUCUUUUUAUUACAGUAAUGAAAAGUUGUGAAUUCAUACACUUAUUGGAAGGAAAUGAAGGGGGAGGAGGAGAAGCACACCAGUACUGUAAAUGCUAGACUACCGAGCAAGGCUGGGAUGUCUGAAGUGGGCCUACAACUAGCUGUGUUGCAUACUAGGAGAGAACAGAAUGGAUCAGUUACAGAAUGAUUGAGGAAUGUAGGCUGGAUACCUGGGAGGAGACGAUCCUGGAAUCAUGGAGAGUGGUAGGUUUGCAAGAGGGAAAGCAUUCUUGGAAGGCAGGUCCUCAGACCCCUGCAACCAAGAAAUCAACUCAAACUCAUGCAGCCUUGAGAAUGUCGUACAUGCACAUCCUAAAAGUCACUCCAUGGUGCUCGUCCACUGUCAGCAUGCUGAAAUGCCUCAGCCAGAUACUUAAACUCCACGUCUGGGUUCUUGAUGGUGAUGAUGAUGAUGAUGACGAUGAUGAU